rnacentral:rRNA from 1 species
AGCGAACGCUGGCGGCAGGCCUAACACAUGCAAGUCGAACGAACCUUUCGGGGUUAGUGGCGGACGGGUGAGUAACACGUGGGAACGUGCCUUUAGGUUCGGAAUAACUCAGGGAAACUUGUGCUAAUACCGAAUGUGCCCUUCGGGGGAAAGAUUUAUCGCCUUUAGAGCGGCCCGCGUCUGAUUAGCUAGUUGGUUGAGGUAAUGGCUCUCCAAGGCGACGAUCAGUAGCUGGUCUGAGAGGAUGAUCAGCCACAUUGGGACUGAGACACGGCCCAAACUCCUACGGGAGGCAGCAGUGGGGAAUCUUGCGCAAUGGGCGAAAGCCUGACGCAGCCAUGCCGCGUGAAUGAUGAAGGUCUUAGGAUUGUAAAAUUCUUUCACCGGGGACGAUAAUGACGGUACCCGGAGAAGAAGCCCCGGCUAACUUCGUG